UUUCUGAAUGUUUGGGAAUGCAGUACUGAAGUCAGACUACUCCUAACCCCCCUCUGCCUUCAUUAUACAACUUUUAUUGAAAACUUACUGGGUGCAGAAAAAAAUGAUCCUAUUGUUGAAAGAGUAGAAGAAACAUUUGUGAGAAAUAAAAUGAGAUGUAGGCUUGCUGGGGCAAUGAAUACACACGACACAGGUUGAAGUUAGCUACAAAGGUACGCUGUGGACAAGCCAGACCACGGUACGUGAGCAAGCGGCUGAAACAGAACUGGCUGCCCAAGGACCGGGUUUGGAAGAACAGGAAGCAGCAGCUUAGAUAGCAGUUAACUGGUGUGGGAGUCCGGCCUGCCAGCGGCUGCUCUCAGCUCAGCUUCUUCUCCCUGGUGACCUCUGGUAACGUCACAGGUAGUGAAAAGUGCUACAGCUGGUGAGUGGCUUGAUCCUGUGUAUGACAGAAAAUAGGCAAUAUUUAUCUUUCUGAGAAAAUGCCACUUUUGAGUAAGAAACACUCAUCCUUUUUCUACCAUAAUGAGCGAUUCUUUAUUAUGAACAAAAAGCUCUAGACAUUUCCAAAAUAAUGCUCCCUGGACUUUUAACUGGACAAGGCUCUGAUAUUAUUACUCUAUUUGUUGGACUACAAUGACCUCUUUGUUCCGCUGCCCACUCUAAGCCCAAUUACUGAGGACGCCAUGAAGAAUAAUUACACCUGUGUGCCACAACCUCACACAUUGUUAACGUGUUUUUAAUCAUCAGACACUCUCACACUCUCACGGACUGCUGAAACUAAAGAGUUAAUUCCCACCACAGCAUUGUCCUCUCUCACAGGAAGCACAGGGACCUGGCCUAGGAGCAUGGCAUCACCACAGAGUCCCACAUCGACAAGUGGCCGAGUGCAGUACGCUGCUGUGGGGAGCAUCCCGGAGGACCCCGGCCGCUAUGGCCCGGAGGCAGGAAAGAAAGUCGUGAGGGUGAACAGGAGGGAGGGGGACCAGGCCAUGAGGUGAAUUCUGCAGCAUUUGAAGGUGUCUGAGCUAGCAAGGCAGCUCCUCUGGGAAGGGACAGUGGUACAGAGAGAAAGCAGGAAGUGGAUCAGCUGGACCGUGCCCUUCAGAACAGGUCUAGCAGGAAAUGCUCCAAAGACACUGAGCACUAAGCUUUCCUAUCCAAGCACCUUCCCUCCCAAUACCAAAUCUACACAGAAAACCACAAGAGAGAUGCCACUAAUGCUUCCAAGGACUGUUUGUGCAAAUUUCCUCUUUGGUCUCACAAGUGAGCAUUUGUCUACUUAACAAGAUAGACCAUCAGCGCGGCAUGACAUUAAACUAUCCAAACCUGCACUCCAUAUUUGGGCAGUCGGGCCUCGUGUCUUGGUGUCCAUCUUUCCACCUCUCCACCCUGUAUUUAGGAGGAAACUGUGAAGUCCUAACAAUGUCAGCCCCUGUAGGCUGAGCUGGAGCCCAGACACCAGGACCAAGGCUGUGCCAGGCUCUAUCUGCUGCCCCAUUCUGCUACUAAAAAGGAAAAUAUUUUUCUGACAGCCAAUGACUCACAGCGGAGAGAAAUGGUGGGGGAGGGGUUUCCUCUUCUGGAGGUCAUUGAGCGACAAUAAACCUAAUCUGUGAAGGACAGAGGUGGCGUGAGUAAUGCCAGGAAGCAGGCAGAAGACGUUUAGGGAAUCCGCCUUCUGACCGAGCACCGAGGAGAGGAAUACGGACUUACUCUACACCCUGCGAUUCUGGGAGCGGAGCAGCAAGAUUCAAAGUGUCAACCACAAGGCUGACCUGGCAGCCAGCAGGAGCUUCUGUACCUUUAACUCUCCCUUGACUUUAAUUUCUCCACCCAUCCGUGACUAGUUGCUGAGGGAAAACUCAACAACUCAGAGAGGGUCUAGGCAGACUUAAGCAAUGCUCCCCUCCCCCAGAUUCAAAACAUUUACCCACCAGAAGCCUCAAAGCUGGGUUUGGGGUUGGCUUGCCUUAUGUCCUGAAUGCUCCUGUCGGCCCAGGUCUUCCUGUGGCUGACACUGCCUGAGGAAGGCAUCUUGAACCCGUGUUAGCCCCACUGCCUGUCAGUCACUGCUCUCAACUUCCACCCCAGCGUUAGCUGCUUCAAACCAGUGCCGGUGGUCUCCUUGGCUCAGGGACACCUCCGGGAUCCCACUGGCCACUUGGAUAAUUUGGGCAUCAAAAUAAUAUCAUUAAUGAUAAUAACCAACUGAUAAGUAUCUGUGAGUAGUCCAUAAUGGUAGAGAAGAGUGCCAGCUAAUGACCACGGUGAGGAUUAUGGGAACAGAAAAUUACCAUACAGCAACCAUCCCCGCGGUGGCUGAUGGAGACAGGAAUGGCUGGGGAGGCUGGUGGAUGGAAUACUUCCUACCAAAGAUGAGAAGACUGCUGUGGUCUCAGAAAACCUCACGACAAAACUGAUGGUUCCAGUGAGGAAGCCAACGGUGAACUACGCUGGCAUCCUGCCCCUGUAAGAUGCACUGAGAUAGAGGAGUCACUUUUGCCAAGUGAGAUACAGACUGGAGUCUAGAAACAUCCGUGGGUCCCACCUGAAGGACAACUCUACAGUGCCAAAGGACUUUCGUCUGGGAAUCCUCCAAGUCACAAAGAAAGGAAACAUAACUGACAGAGACUGGAUUACUUAACGAGAUGAAUUUCAAUUCCUUCCUCCUUUCCUCCUGUCAUCCCUCUGACUCUUCCUUCCCUUCCUUUCCACUUAUUUGCUUAUUUAUAAUUUUUUUUUAAAUUUAUUCUGUAUAUAG